CAUGUUAUUUAUUGUACAGAAAAAAAGAUAGAUAUCCAGAAUUUCAAGAUAUUUUAACAGGAACUUAUUUGCUUUAAAUGUUUUUGAAAAUAUCUAGAUUCCAAGGCAAAACUUGUAAGGCAAAGUCUAUUUUAAAGUGUGAGUGCAAGAGUGAGUCACAGGCUGGUUAAGUAUGCAAGAUACAAGUCAGAGAGAUGUGACUAAAAGAUAGGUCUAUUAACUAUACAUCUGUAAUUUUAGAGAUUUUUCUGCUUUUUUAGUGAUACUCACUGAGAGUUUUACUAUUUCAUUACUCAAUUUACACUGAUAUAUUGUGGUUAAUGAAUGUAUAAGACAUGCAUUGUUAAAUGAUUUGUAAUUUUUUUUAUCUAGUAUACACUGUAUUUUAAUGCCUGACUAUUGAUAUUAAAGGG
rnacentral:lncRNA from 1 species